UGAAAAGCUUCCAAAAUUCCUUAUUGUGCUCCAUAGUUCUCAGAUGUGUAAGUGUACCUGAAAUGACUCAAAACAUACGAAAAAGACUAGAAAGACUCUAAAAACCAUUCUGAAACUAUGUUAGAAAUCAAUAAAAACCAGGAU
rnacentral:sRNA from 1 species